rnacentral:misc_RNA from 1 species
UACGAAGGGUGCGAGCGUUGUUCGGAUUUAUUGGGCGUAAAGCGCACGUAGGCGGGCUUUUAAGUCAGGUGUGAAAUCUCGGAGCUUAACUCCGAAACUGCGCCUGAAACUAGAAGCCUAGAAUCCUAGAGGGGGAAGGAGAAUUUCUCAUGUAGGGGUAAAAUCCGUAGAGAUGAGAAGGAAUAUCAGAGGCGAAGGCGCCUUCCUGGCUAGGUAUUGACGCUGAGGUGCGAAAGCGUGGGGAGCAAACAGG